GACGAACGCUGGCGGCGUGCUUAACACAUGCAAGUCGAACGGAAAGGCCCUGCUUUUGUGGGGUGCUCGAGUGGCGAACGGGUGAGUAACACGUGAGUAACCUGCCCUUGACUUUGGGAUAACUUCAGGAAACUGGGGCUAAUACCGGAUAGGAGCUCCUGCUGCAUGGUGGGGGUUGGACAGUUUCGGCGGUUGGGGAUGGACUCGCGGGUUAUCAGCUUGUUGGUGGGGUAGUGGCUUACCAAGGCUUUGACGGGUAGCCGGCCUGAGUGGGUGACCGGCCACAUUGGGACUGAGGUACGGCCCAGACUCCUACGGGAGGCAGCAGUGGGGAAUAUUGCACAAUGGGCGGAAGCCUGAUGCAGCAACGCCGCGUGCGGGAUGACGGCCUUCGGGUUGUAAACCGCUUUCGCCUGUGACGAAGCGUGAGUGACGGUAAUGGGUAAAGAAGCACCGGCUAACUACGUG
rnacentral:rRNA from 1 species